ACCAAAACCCUUCCCAGAACCCCCCCUUUCUCGUCUCUCUCACUCACCGCCCAACGUCACCGCCGGAAAUUGCCUACGGCGGCGGCCUAGCUCCAAACCACCAAAAAAUAUCACUCUAUACUCCCUCUCCCUCCUCAUUUCUAAUAUAUUACCCAUUUCCCUUAGAACCCUUCAGUUUUUGUUGAAUAGAGGAUUUAGGAAAUACCCAAAACCCUAGUCCGCCCCCUUUCAAUUUUUCACUAGUUUCAACACUCGAUUUGACCUGGGACUUGCGUUGAUCGAUUGUUCUCAACGAGAAUAAUCGAUUAACAUUAGUUUCGGUUCAUUUCAAAGAUGUCGAAAUCCGGUCAAACAACCGUUGACCGGUCAUUUGCUCCCCAAUCGUUCUGAUGUUGUUUCUCCAGCGGGUCAAGGAUCGUUUCUGUCGCUUACUUUGAGCUUAAUAGGAAGUUGUUGGCACUGACUACACGACUGUAAUUUGCAGACCUGACCACUAAUUGGUCAGGUCAGUGAAUUUUGACGCCAAAGAGUGGGAUGGAGGUUCAAGCUGAAAGCAAAAUAUAUUUUGCUUUAGGCUCAAUAUUAUCCUAACUGAUUUAUGCAUGUAUUAGAAAGCUUUAUGCCAUGUUAUCAUUAUUGAGAAUUGUAAUUGAAAUGACCACUACUGUAAACACCAGAAUCUGGUAGUCUCGAGGUUUGAAUGCCAGCUUUGCUAUUUGAUAUUCGUAUAAUUGACUUUUCUGCUCA